rnacentral:lncRNA from 10 species
CUCACCAAAUUACUGCUACAUGCUGCAUUAAAAAUUUUGUCAGCUUUGUUCUGCUUUGGAAUCCUGUGCUUAUGAGAACUUUACCUUAGGCAGAGGUCAAUGGAUUGAAGAAAAUGUUCACGGAAGGAAGAUGAUUAAUUGAUCCAGAGGGCCUGUAGCAACUCUGUUUAACAUGCUAGAUGAGCCAGUCUUAUUCAGUGAUGACUAAGGAUCUAGAGAAAACUGGUGUCAGGAUACAAAAGAUUAAAUGGAAGGCUCUGGAGCCCUGAGGAAUAGCAGUUACUAGACUGAAGGAACCUGAGUUUCUAGAUUGCGAUGUUGAGCAGAGUCCCUGCUAACCCAGGAAAACUCUGAUGUGAGAAAGAAGAAAACCCGGAUUGCACUAACUCACCGAGAUUUCGAAGUUUAGUUGUUCGGCGAUGAACUUGUCCUGAACAACAUAGAGGAACAGUGGGAAAUACAUGGAGUGUGCUUAUAAGAAGCUAUGGUAGGCAGGAU